GAGUUUGAUCCUGGCUCAGGAUGAACGCUAGCGGCAGGCCUAAUACAUGCAAGUCGAACGAGCUUGAGUAGCAAUACUUGAGUUAGUGGCGCACGGGUGCGUAACGCGUAUGCAACCUACCUUUUCCUGGGGGAUAGCCCGUCGAAAGACGGAUUAAUACCGCAUAACACCAUUUGAGGGCAUCCGAAGAUGGUCAAAGCUUUCGGGCGGGAGAAGAUGGGCAUGCGUGCCAUUAGCUAGUUGGCGGGGUAAAGGCCCACCAAGGCGACGAUGGCUAGGGGUUCUGAGAGGAUGGUCCCCCACACUGGUACUGAGACACGGACCAGACUCCUACGGGAGGCAGCAGUAGGGAAUAUUGGGCAAUGGGCGAGAGCCUGACCCAGCCAUGCCGCGUGCAGGAAGAAGGCCUUCUGGGUUGUAAACUGCUUUUAUCAGGGAAGAAAACGCUCUUGCGAGAGUAACUGACGGUACCUGGUGAAUAAGCACCGGCUAACUCCGUGCCAGCAGCCGCGGUAAUACGGAGGGUGCAAGCGUUGUCCGGAUUUAUUGGGUUUAAAGGGUGCGUAGGCGGCCCGUUAAGUCAGCGGUGAAAUCCCAGGGCUCAACCCUGGAACUGCCGUUGAUACUGGCGGGCUUGAGUUCGGUCGAGGCGGGCGGAACUGGUGGUGUAGCGGUGAAAUGCAUAGAUACCACCAAGAACCCCGAUUGCGUAGGCAGCUCGCUAGGCCGAAACUGACGCUGAGGCACGAAAGCGUGGGGAGCGAACAGGAUUAGAUACCCUGGUAGUCCACGCCGUAAACGGUGAGUACUCGAUGUUGGCGAUACACAGCCAGCGUCCAAGCGAAAGCGUUAAGUACUCCCCUUGGGGAAGUA
rnacentral:rRNA from 1 species